rnacentral:rRNA from 1 species
UGCCAGCCGCCGCGGUAAUACGGGGGGAGCAAGCGUUGUCCGGAAUCAUUGGGCGUAAAGGGUACGUAGGCGGUUUGGUCAGUUAGAUGUGAAAGCCCAGGGCUCAACCUUGGAACUGCAUUUAAUACUGCCAGACUUGAGAUCGGAAGAGGAAAGCGGAAUUUCUAGUGUAGAGGUGAAAUUCGUAGAUAUUAGAAGGAACAUCAGAGGCGAAGGCGGCUUUCUGGUCCGAUACUGACGCUGAGGUACGAAAGCGUGGGGAGCAAACAGGAUUAGAUA